UGACUUUCCGAGAGAAGAAAGAAGAAAGAAAGGUUGAUCGGUGGUAUCUUCCAAUGGUUGCUUCGAGGGAGAGGUCAAUCCUUUAAAUAGAGGGUUGAUCGAAAGAGGCAGAAGUCGAAAAAACUUCGAUUUCUGUCUGAAAUUGGAGUCACCAUCAAAGAGGGAAAGAAGACUCCUUAAGGAGUUUGAUUCUUGAUUAGGGUCUUCAGUAUGCGCAAAGCAUGUGCUGGCCUAAGUUUUCUCCCCCUCUCUUUUUUUUUUCUCUUGCUAGCCUA
rnacentral:lncRNA from 1 species